AUCCAUCCGUCCAUUGCCUAUCCCAAGUCGCCCUUGGUCCCAUAUUGCUCUGGACUUCGUUACCGGACUACCUCCUUCUGAAGAGGUCAUCAGUUCUCAUCCCCGGUGUGGAAGGAAUUCUGUAAAGCGGUGGGCGCACCAGCCAGCUUGUCAUCGGGAUAUCAUUCGCAGACCAACGGCCAGACAGAGCGGGCAAACCAAUCCCUGGAAUCAGCCCUCCGUCGUGUUGCCGCACGCAACCCCUCCUCCUGGAGCUCAUUCCUCCCGUGGAUUGAGUACGCCCACAACUCCCUCACCAGUUCUGCUACCAGUAUGUCCCCAUUCAUGGCUUGCUAUGGUUACCAACCGCCAUUGUUCAAGGAGCAGGAGCGGGCAGUGGCAGUCCCCGCAGUCAAGGACCAUCUCCAGCGGAUCCAGGCUGUAUGGAAUGACGUCCGUGCGGCAUUGACCCGGUCCGCCGCACGCAACAAACAGCUCGCGGACCGUCAUCGCUCCCCAACGCCCGAAUACAAGUGUGUCCCCCCCUGUGUUCCUGAUCCACGUAAUUCCUGCCGCCAAGCCAGCCGCCUGUCCUCACCACUGCCUGCCACCUGUCCACACCGCCGCCUGCCAACCCACCUAGGACCACCGCCAUUACCUUUCAUCAAUAAACUAGUCAUCCUUUCACAUCUGCCUCCGACUGCUCUUGGAUCCAGCCACUCUCUAUUUGUGUCAAAAUUAUAAAUAUACACCACUGUAUUUCAAUAGUAGAGGCCAGUAGUUGUAAAAUUAAAUAUAUUUGUCAUUUCAAUCGGAGCUCACUUUAAGGGGAAGACCAAAGAGGUGGUAAUUACAAUAAUCUAAACGGGAUGUAACCAUCUUCUGAACGAGGAUUCCGACACUGUUAGGGUUGAGUGAUGGUUUAUAUUGCAGAGAUGGAAGUAUGGCGGUCGGAUAAUGUUAUUGAUGUGGGUUUGGAAUGACAAGGCGCUGUCGAGGACGACACCCAGACUAUUAACCUUAAGGGAGGGGGAAACAGAGGUGUUGUCAAUGGUGAAGGUGAUGUUUGGCGAGGAUGGAUUUGGAUGCCGAUG